UUCGACUAUAUAAAGGAGAGAUAAAAGCAGAGAGCAAUUUUGAGUCCAAGAAACCUAGCCGAUUCAGAACCUGAAAUUCUAAUUAUUAUUAUUCUUCUUCUUCUUCUUCUCUAUUCUCAAAAUGGUGUUCGUCGAAGUCCAAGGCCAACCCGAUCUGUAUUCAAGAUUGCCAAUGAGUUGUGAGGAAGUAGGCGCUGCGAAAAAAAGAAGAGUAUUCAAGAUUUCGUGCAAGAUCUCGUUAGGAGAUGUCAGGGAUUACGAGAUCUUCCAACAGAUUUCAGUAUUCAAUGGUGAGCACCGCGAGUGGUUUUACCCAAAGAUCUCAACCCCGUGUGUGGUCUACACGUGGCACAACCCCUCAAAGAGGUAUCCGUACGACAAUAACAGAAACAAAAAAAAAGAGUUCACACUCUGUUCUCUGCUCUGCUCUAACCGUCUCGGCUCUAACUUCACAGAAACAAAAUAGCUACCAUUCGCAGGUGAAAAGUAGCCUUCUCUCAUUCCUUUCCCUCUCACUUUUGCUCUUUUUUCCCGUUUUCUUAUCUUCGUCCUCUCUCUCUCUCUCUCUCUCUCUCUCUCUCUCUCUCUCUUUAGUUUCAUUCCGUAGCAGAAGAUCAAAUCCAA
rnacentral:lncRNA from 1 species